rnacentral:rRNA from 1 species
ACGCUCGACACCUACGGGGGCAGCAGUCGGGAAUAUUGCGCAAUGGAGGAAACUCUGACGCAGUGACGCCGCGUAUAGGAAGAAGGUUUUCGGAUUGUAAACUAUUGUCGUUAGGGAAGAAAAAGGACAGUACCUAAGGAGGAAGCUCCGGCUAACUACGUGCCAGCAGCAGCGGUAAUCUGAGGCGGGCUGGACAAGGC